AUCCAGCUGACGAGUCCCAAAUAGGACGAAUCAAACUGGAU
rnacentral:hammerhead_ribozyme from 1 species